rnacentral:rRNA from 1 species
CCUACGGGUGGCAGCAGUGAGGAAUAUUGGUCAAUGGACGAGAGUCUGAACCAGCCAAGUAGCGUGAAGGAUGACUGCCCUAUGGGUUGUAAACUUCUUUUAUAUGGGAAUAAAAUGUUCCACGUGUGGGAUUUUGUAUGUACCCUAUGAAUAAGGAUCGGCUAACUCCGUGCCAGCAGCCGCGGUAAUACGGAGGAUCCGAGCGUUAUCCGGAUUUAUUGGGUUUAAAGGGAGCGUAGGUGGAGUGUUAAGUCAGUGGUGAAAGUAUGCGGCUCAACCGUAAAAUUGCAGUUGAAACUGGCAGUCUUGAGUACAGUAGAGGUAGGCGGAAUGCGUGGUGUAGCGGUGAAAGGCUUAGAUAUCGCGAAGAACUCCGAUUGCGAAGGCAGCGCACUGGACUGCAACUGACACUGAGGCACGAAAGUGUGGGUAUCAAACAGGAUUAGAUACCCUUGUAGUC